GACGAACCGUGCGAACGUUAUUCGGAAUCACUGGGCUUAAAGCGCGUGUAGGCGGGACGGCACGUCGGUCGCUGAAAUCCCCCGGCUCAACCGGGGAACGGGCGCCGAUACGACCACCCUGGAGGGACGUAGGGGGACCUGGAACUUCCGGUGGAGCGGUGAAAUGCGUUGAGAUCGGAAGGAACGCCCGUGGCGAAAGCGAGGUCCUGGACGUCUUCUGACGCUGAGACGCGAAAGCUAGGGGAGCGAAGUGGGA
rnacentral:rRNA from 1 species